rnacentral:ribozyme from 1 species
CGGCAUCAAAUAAGAUUGAACCUUUACGUGGUGAUGCUAUAAGUAGGAAUUAAUUCCGAAACUAAUCAAUCA